rnacentral:rRNA from 1 species
UACGAAGGGGGCUAGCGUUGCUCGGAAUCACUGGGCGUAAAGGGUGCGUAGGCGGGUCUUUAAGUCAGGGGUGAAAUCCUGGAGCUCAACUCCAGAACUGCCUUUGAUACUGAAGAUCUUGAGUUCGGGAGAGGUGAGUGGAACUGCGAGUGUAGAGGUGAAAAUUCGUAGAUAUUCGCAAGAACACCAGUGGCGAAGGCGGCUCACUGGCCCGAUAACUGACGCUGAGGCACGAAAAGCGUGGGGAGCAAACAGG